rnacentral:rRNA from 1 species
CAGCCGCCGCGGUAAAACCAGCACCUCAAGUGGUCAGGAGGAUUAUUAGGCCUAAAGCAUCCGUAGCCGGCUUUGUUAGUUUUCGGUUAAAUCCAUGCGCUCAACGCAUGGGCUGUCGGAAAUACUGCAGAGCUAGGGAGUGGGAGAGGUAGACGGUACUCAGUAGGAAGGGGUAAAAUCCUUUGAUCUAUUGAUGACCACCUGUGGCGAAGGCGGUCUACCAGAACACGUUCGACGGUGAGGGAUGAAAGCUGGGGGAGCAAACCGGAUUAGAUACCCGGGUAGUCCCAGCUGUAAACGAUGCAGACUCGAUGAUGCAUUGGCAUAUAGCCAGUGCAGUGUCGCAGGGAAGCCGUUAAGUCUGCCGCCUGGGAAGUACGUACGCAAGUAUGAAACUUAAAGGAAUUGGCGGGGGAGCACCACAAGGGGUGAAGCCUGCGGUUCAAUUGGAGUCAACGCCAGAAAUCUUACCCGGAGAGACAGCAGAAUGAAGGUCAAGCUGAAGACUUUACCAGACAAGCUGAGAGGUGGUGCAUGGCCGUCGCCAGCUCGUGCCGUGAGAUGUCCUGUUAAGUCAGGUAACGAGCGAGAUCCCUGCCAUUAGUUGCUAUCAUUAUUCUCAGGAAUAGUGGAGCGAACUAGUGGGACUGCCGUUGUUAAAACGGAGGAAGGAAGGGGCUACGGCAGGUCAGUAUGCCCCGAAACUCUGGGGCCACACGCGGGCUGCAAUGGUAGUGACAAUGAGUUCCAAACUCGAAAGGGUGUGGCAAUCUCUAAACACUACCACAGUUAUGACUGAGGGCUGCAACUCGUCCUCACGAAUAUGGAAUCCCUGGUAACCGCGCGUCAUUACCACGCGGUGAAUACGUCCCUGCUCCUUGCACACACCGCCCGUCGUUUCAUCGAAGUUUGCUUUUAGCGAGGUGAUGUUUAAUGGCCAUUAUCGAA